AGUGAACGCUGGCGGUAGGCCUAACACAUGCAAGUCGAACGGCAGCACAGUAAGAGCUUGCUCUUACGGGUGGCGAGUGGCGGACGGGUGAGGAAUACAUCGGAAUCUACUUUUUCGUGGGGGAUAACGUAGGGAAACUUACGCUAAUACCGCAUACGACCUACGGGUGAAAGCAGGGGAUCUUCGGACCUUGCGCGAUUGAAUGAGCCGAUGUCGGAUUAGCUAGUUGGCGGGGUAAAGGCCCACCAAGGCGACGAUCCGUAGCUGGUCUGAGAGGAUGCUCAGACACGAUGGACGUGCGGCACGGGAGAGACUGGUAGGGGGAGCAGCAGUGGAAAAUAUGAGAAAAGGAGCGCACGCGUGACCCAGCCAUAGCGCGUGGGUGAAGCAGGCUGUCGGGAUGUAAAGCCUUGUUGUUGGGAAAGAACAGCAGCAGGUUAAGGCCCCGAUGUUACGACGGUACCAAAAGAACAAGCAGCGGCUAACUUCGUGCGGGCAGCCGUGGUAAGAGGAAGAGCACACUCUGAAC
rnacentral:rRNA from 1 species